GUCGGUUUUGGUUAUUGAUGUUUCCACCGUAACUUUUGAAUCAAACACAAAAACAGAAAAUACAAAAGAAUCAUUUUUACUGUGCAAACUACUCAUAAUGGCCACAGAACUCGAGCAACUCACUCACUAGAACAAUUUGUCGAGCAUCUUGUGUGCAACUGGAGAUUUAAGUUCACUUCAGCUCAACCGGCCAAGCACACCCAAUGGUCACUCCAAAUAACCUCAUAGCUUCAAUGCCGCACCCAAACCGAUACACAGUACAAUAGCUUCACUUGGUUUGUGAUGCAAUUGCAGAAUUGAGCCUUGAGAAGAAGCUGAGUUGGCAGAGUUAGUUAGUACCGGUAGAAGUUAGUUACAG
rnacentral:lncRNA from 1 species